rnacentral:rRNA from 1 species
GAUGAACGCUAGCGGGAGGCCUAACACAUACAAGCCGAGCGGUAGAGUUCCUUCGGGAACUUGAGAGCGGCGUACGGGUGCGUAACACGUGUGCAACCUACCUUUAUCUGGGGGAUAGCCUUUCGAAAGGAAGAUUAAUACCCCAUAAUAUAUUGAGUGGCAUCAUUUAAUAUUGAAAACUCUGGUGGAUAGAGAUGGGCACGCGCAAGAUUAGAUAGUUGGUGAGGUAACGGCUCACCAAGUCUGUGAUCUUUAGGGGUCCUGAGAGGGAGAUCCCCCACACUGGUACUGAGACACGGACCAGACUCCUACGGGAGGCAGCAGUGAGGAAUAUUGGACAAUGGGUGAGAGCCUGAUCCAGCCAUCCCGUGUGAAGGAUGACGGUCCUAUGGAUUGUAAACUUCUUUUGUACAGGAAUAAACCUAUUUACGUGUAAAUAGCUGAAGGUACUGUACGAAUAAGCACCGGCUAACUCCGUGCCAGCCGCCGCGGUAA